rfam:Dipodomys ordii contig_31301, whole genome shotgun sequence.
GGGAAAGUGGCUCAGGGGUAGAGUGCUUGCCUUGCAUGCAUGAGGCCCUGGGUUCAAUUCCUCAGUACCA